AGAGUUUGAUCAUGGCUCAGAACGAACGCUGGCGGCAGGCCUAACACAUGCAAGUCGAGCGCCCCGCAAGGGGAGCGGCGGACGGGUGAGUAACACGUGGGAAUUUUCCUCAAGGUACGGAACAACUCAGGGAAACUUGGGCUAAUACCGUAUGAUGCAGAGAUGCCAAAGAUUUAUCGCCUUGGGAUAAGCCCGCGUCAGAUUAGGUAGUUGGUGGGGUAAUGGCCUACCAAGCCUGUGAUCUGUAGCUGGUCUGAGAGGACGAUCAGCCACAUUGGGACUGAGACACGGCCCAAACUCCUACGGGAGGCAGCAGUGGGGAAUCUUGCGCAAUGGGCGAAAGCCUGACGCAGCCAUGCCGCGUGAAUGAUGAAGGUCUUAGGAUUGUAAAGUUCUUUCGCCCGUGACGAUGAUGACGGUAACGGGAGGAGAAGCCCCGGCUAACUUCGUGCCAGCAGCCGCGGUAAUACGAAGGGGGCUAGCGUUGUUCGGAAUUACUGGGCGUAAAGCGCGCGUAGGCGGUUUUGCAAGCCAGAGGUGAAAUGCCCGAGCUCAACUUGGGAAUUGCCUUUGGGACUGUGAGGCUUUGAGGACGAGAGAGGUGAGUGGAAUUCCCAGUGUAGAGGUGAAAUUCGUAGAUAUUGGGAAGAACACCGGUGGCGAAGGCGGCUCACUGGCUCGUUUCUGACGCUAAAGCGCGAAAGCGUGGGGAUCAAACAGGAUUAGAUACCCUGGUAGUCCACGCUGUAAACGAUGAGUGCUAGGCGUCGGCAGGCUUGCCUGUCGGUGCCGCAGCUAAC
rnacentral:rRNA from 1 species